UCCACCUCUUCCCAUUCCGAACAGAGAAGUUAAACCUCACCACGCCGAUGGUACUGCGAAAGUGGGAGAGUAGGUAACCGCCCCCU
rnacentral:rRNA from 1 species